GGGAUUUCAGUCUCCACAUAGUUUUGGAGCCGGACUUUUGAAGAAUGAUUCAUGAAUCCGGAAUGGGUGACAGCAUCAUCACGGCAUUUUAUUGACAGACCAUGGAUUCUUACAAUGCACCAGAAUCAACUCCUAGUGCAUCCUCAAGACCUGAAGAUUACUUUAUAGGUGCCACUCCUCUGCAGAAACGAUUAGAAUCGGUCAGGAAGCAGAGUUCAUUUAUCCCGACUCCACCUCGAAGGAAAAUUCCCCAGUGUUCGCAGUUGCAGGAAUGAAAGGAACACAAAGGGACCCGGAAGCAUUUCUUGUCCAGAUUCUGUCAAAAUCUCAAUUGCCAUCUGAGAAUAGAGAAGAUAAAGUGUUGUGGACUGGCUGGUUCUGCUGUAUAUUUGGAGACAGUCUUCUGGAGACUGUUUCAGAAGAUUUCACCUGUCUGCCCUUAUUCCUUGCAAAUGGAGCAGAGUCUAACACAGCAAUAAUUGGAACUUGGUUUCAGAAAACCUUUGACUGUUAUUUCAGUCCUUUAGCAAUCAAUGCAUUUAAUCUUUCCUGGAUGGCUGCCAUGUGGACUGCAUGCAAAAUGGACCAUUAUGUGGCUACUACUGAAUUUCUUUGGUCUGUACCCUGUAGCCCUCAAAGUCUGGACAUUUCUUUCGCAAUACAUCCAGAGGAUGCAAAAGCUCUAUGGGACAGUGUCCACAAAACACCUGGGGAGGUUACCCAGGAAGAAGUUGACCUAUUCAUGGACUGCCUUUAUUCACAUUUCCAUAGACAUUUCAAAAUUCAUUUAUCAGCCACAAGAUUAGUUCGUGUUUCAACAUCUGUAGCUUCAGCACAUACUGAUGGAAAAAUAAAG
rnacentral:sRNA from 1 species